AGAGCGAACGCUGGCGGCGUGCUUAACACAUGCAAGUCGAGUGCGCAGCUUUCUGUAGCAAUACAGGAAGUGGGCGCACGGCGCACGGGUGAGUAACACGUGGGCAACCUGCCCUCCAAAGGGGGAUAACCCGCCGAAAGGCGGGCUAAUACCGCAUGACAUUCCGGGAACCUCGGUUCCUGGAUUCAAAGGCCGAAAGGCCGUUGGGGGAGGGGCUCGCGCCCGAUUAGCUUGUUGGCGAGGUAAUGGCUCACCAAGGCUUUGAUCGGUAGCCGGUCUGAGAGGAUGGCCGGCCACACUGGAACUGAGACACGGUCCAGACUCCUACGGGAGGCAGCAGUGGGGAAUAUUGGACAAUGGGCGCAAGCCUGAUCCAGCCAUGCCGCGUGAGUGAUGAAGGCCCUAGGGUUGUAAAGCUCUUUGUGCGGGAAGAUAAUGACGGUACCGCAAGAAUAACGCCCGGCUAACUUCGUGCCAGCAGCCGC
rnacentral:rRNA from 1 species